GGCAUAAUAUCGUUCUCGCCAGUGCGACCAUAUUAGUUUCUGCACACUGCACUUAGUUUUUCACCAUACUCAACAGGUCAGUCAAUAGUAACAUUUUAAUCGUUCAAAUUACUACUGAUCCCUAGCCUCUUUUUCUUGUUAUAUAGUACAGUAAAUUCAUUAUGAACAGGUAGCACAUACCUUAGUGAUAUCUGAUCUGGCUAUGUAAAUAAAAGUUAAGUUUUGUCCAUAAGCAAAAGGAUUCGCAAUAGAAAAAAUGUCGUUUAUCGUACGGUACGGUUAAAAGUUGGGUUGAAGUAAAAAAAAAAUUU